rnacentral:tRNA from 1 species
GCGAACUUGGCGGAAUGGUAGACGCACGAGACUUAAAAUCUCGAGUCCGCAAGGGCGUAUGGGUUCGAGUCCCAUAGUUCGCACCA